rnacentral:rRNA from 1 species
CUUGAACGCUGGCGGCAGGCCUAACACAUGCAAGUCGAACGGUAACAGGAAACAGCUUGCUGUUUCGCUGACGAGUGGCGGACGGGUGAGUAAUGUCUGGGAAACUGCCUGAUGGAGGGGGAUAACUACUGGAAACGGUAGCUAAUACCGCAUAACGUCGCAAGACCAAAGAGGGGGACCUUCGGGCCUCUUGCCAUCGGAUGUGCCCAGAUGGGAUUAGCUAGUAGGUGGGGUAACGGCUCACCUAGGCGACGAUCCCUAGCUGGUCUGAGAGGAUGACCAGCCACACUGGAACUGAGACACGGUCCAGACUCCUACGGGAGGCAGCAGUGGGGAAUAUUGCACAAUGGGCGCAAGCCUGAUGCAGCCAUGCCGCGUGUAUGAAGAAGGCCUUCGGGUUGUAAAGUACUUUCAGCGGGGAUGAAGGGAGUAAAGUUAAUACCUUUGCUCAUUGACGUUACCCGCAGAAGAAGCACCGGCUAACUCCGUG